rnacentral:lncRNA from 1 species
GUGAGAAUCCAGGAAGGCAGAGACAUGUCAGCUGUGAGAAGCAUAUCCAUGCAGUUAUUAUGGCCACAUGUAAUCUUUGCUGGGCUUUGUCAGCAUAUGAGCUGCUGAUGAGGAUGACUUCUUUCCCAACCAGGAAUGGUUUGUAUGGCUUUUCUGCAAGCUAUUGCUGGGAGUUUAGGUUUGGGGAUUCCUGAGGUGGGUGUAACUAGAAAAGGCUCUGGUUUAUCUUCACUCAGACUUUGAUGAUUUGAAAAGAUUAACAGGCAAAAUACUCAAAGAUUAAAAACAAACAAAUGGAAAAAGAAAGGAAGGAUGGAGAACUUGAAAGCAAGGAAGAAAUGACUUUUAGAUGGUCUAGUCUCUUGUCCUGUGUAGCUAUAAUGACUUCAUUGCACAUGAUCUCAGAUAGUAGGUUAAUUUGGUUCUGGGCCUGGUAUAUGUUUGUUCAAUUUUAUGUGGUCUCCUUAAUGCUGUAUGGAAUAUUGUAAAUUUGUAGUUAUUUAUUUAUGUAUAUAUUUACUUACUUAUUUAACUGUACACCUAGCAUAGAGACACAACUAGUUGGGUACUUAACAAAUAGAUAUAUGAGUUGCCAUAGCUACAAACUACUACUAACAGUAGGAUGUUCA